GUGUUACAUGAAAGGAGAGAAGGUUAGCACUCCCCUUGAUUAGGAUAGAAGAGGUCCUAAUGACCUUUACAACACAUAUACAGCUGAGGAUUGCCACCUACUUUGUGGCAUCUAACCAUGUUUUUAC
rnacentral:ncRNA from 1 species